rnacentral:lncRNA from 1 species
GACAGUCCUGUCCGUCCUCUGUAAUCCACCAUGUUUGGGUAUGCUGUAGAAGUUCGUAAAUUAGCAGUAACUUUGCCGGGCGGAACCGAUACGGGUAUUGUCUCCCCGUGUAUGCUUGAGUGCAUAGGCCUGAGUCUUUCUCCCUAGCUUAGUUAACUUGAGAUGAUUCUUGUGUGUGGAUACUAGUAUAUAGGAAGUACAUAUGAAUCUAGAGCUAACUCUUAGUUCUU